rnacentral:rRNA from 1 species
UCAAAUUUGAAAUCCUGCGGGAAUUGUAAUUUGAAGGUUUCGUGGUCUGAGUCGGCCGCGCCCAAGUCCAUUGGAACAUGGCGCCUGGGAGGGUGAGAGCCCCGUAUGGCGCACGCCGACUCUUUGCACCGCGGCUCCGACGAGUCGAGUUGUUUGGGAAUGCAGCUCUAAGUGGGUGGUAAAUUCCAUCUAAAGCUAAAUAUUGGCGAGAGACCGAUAGCGAACAAGUACAGUGAUGGAAAGAUGAAAAGCACUUUGAAAAGAGAGUGAAACAGCACGUGAAAUUGUUGAAAGGGAAGGGCUUGCAAGCAGACACGGUUUUACCGGGCCAGCGUCGAAAAGGGGGGAGGAACAAGAACUCGAGAAUGUGGCGCGCACCUUCGGGCGCGCGUGUUAUAG